AAGUCGUAACAAGGUUUCCGUAGGUGAACCUGCGGAAGGAUCAUUAACACAUCCUUUUCUAUAUCAACAUUGUCGCACUGGGAACCAUUCGUAAGUAGAGGCCGCGUAUGGCAAGGGUAGAUUCAUGUCAUGAGCAUGAUUGGCCUGCAGGAUGGUAGACGACUUACUUUCGGGUUGGUCGGACCUACAACUCUACUUCUUUUGGGCAUACAGCGUCUAUAAAUACCUCGCUGGAACUUUUUUUUUUUCAACCUUGAAUUUAAUUUUGAAUUGGCUGGGAUCGAGAAGGGCCCUCACAGGUCUGCCUCUCUUGGCUUUUUGAUGGAGAAAUCCAUUAAAUAAACUAAAACACAACUCUUAACAGCGGAUAUCUCGGUUCUC
rnacentral:misc_RNA from 1 species